UUAUUAGUAGCUCAGUGGUAGAGUGCAUGCUGUGUGUUUAUGAUGACCUGGGUUCAAUCCCCAGCUUCUCCC
rnacentral:tRNA from 1 species